rnacentral:rRNA from 1 species
UACAGAGGGGGCAAGCGUUGUUCGGAAUUACUGGGCGUAAAGGGCGCGUAGGCGGCCGCCUAAGUCAGACGUGAAAUCCCUCGGCUCAACCGGGGAACUGCGCCUGAUACUGGGUGGCUUGAAUCCGGGAGAGGGAUGCGGAAUUCCAGGUGUAGCGGUGAAAUGCGUAGAUAUCUGGAGGAACACCGGUGGCGAAGGCGGCAUCCUGGACCGGCAUUGACGCUGAGGCGCGAAAGCCAGGGGAGCAAACGGG